rnacentral:rRNA from 2 species
GUCGAACGAACUCUGGUAUUGAUUGGUGCUUGCAUCAUGAUUUACAUUUGAGUGAGUGGCGAACUGGUGAGUAACACGUGGGAAACCUGCCCAGAAGCGGGGGAUAACACCUGGAAACAGAUGCUAAUACCGCAUAACAACUUGGACCGCAUGGUCCGAGCUUGAAAGAUGGCUUCGGCUAUCACUUUUGGAUGGUCCCGCGGCGUAUUAGCUAGAUGGUGGGGUAACGGCUCACCAUGGCAAUGAUACGUAGCCGACCUGAGAGGGUAAUCGGCCACAUUGGGACUGAGACACGGCCCAAACUCCUACGGGAGGCAGCAGUAGGGAAUCUUCCACAAUGGACGAAAGUCUGAUGGAGCAACGCCGCGUGAGUGAAGAAGGGUUUCGGCUCGUAAAACUCUGUUGUUAAAGAAGAACAUAUCUGAGAGUAACUGUUCAGGUAUUGACGGUAUUUAACCAGAAAGCCACGGCUAACUACGUGCCAGCAGCCGCGGUAAUACGUAGGUGGCAAGCGUUGUCCGGAUUUAUUGGGCGUAAAGCGAGCGCAGGCGGUUUUUUAAGUCUGAUGUGAAAGCCUUCGGCUCAACCGAAGAAGUGCAUCGGAAACUGGGAAACUUGAGUGCAGAAGAGGACAGUGGAACUCCAUGUGUAGCGGUGAAAUGCGUAGAUAUAUGGAAGAACACCAGUGGCGAAGGCGGCUGUCUGGUCUGUAACUGACGCUGAGGCUCGAAAGUAUGGGUAGCAAACAGGAUUAGAUACCCUGGUAGUCCAUACCGUAAACGAUGAAUGCUAAGUGUUGGAGGGUUUCCGCCCUUCAGUGCUGCAGCUAACGCAUUAAGCAUUCCGCCUGGGGAGUACGGCCGCAAGGCUGAAACUCAAAGGAAUUGACGGGGGCCCGCACAAGCGGUGGAGCAUGUGGUUUAAUUCGAAGCUACGCGAAGAACCUUACCAGGUCUUGACAUACUAUGCAAAUCUAAGAGAUUAGACGUUCCCUUCGGGGACAUGGAUACAGGUGGUGCAUGGUUGUCGUCAGCUCGUGUCGUGAGAUGUUGGGUUAAGUCCCGCAACGAGCGCAACCCUUAUUAUCAGUUGCCAGCAUUAAGUUGGGCACUCUGGUGAGACUGCCGGUGACAAACCGGAGGAAGGUGGGGAUGACGUCAAAUCAUCAUGCCCCUUAUGACCUGGGCUACACACGUGCUACAAUGGAUGGUACAACGAGUUGCGAACUCGCGAGAGUAAGCUAAUCUCUUAAAGCCAUUCUCAGUUCGGAUUGUAGGCUGCAACUCGCCUACAUGAAGUCGGAAUCGCUAGUAAUCGCGGAUCAGCAUGCCGCGGUGAAUACGUUCCCGGGCCUUGUACACACCGCCCGUCACACCAUGAGAGU